CAAGUCGUGGGGCAGCAUGACUGUAGCAAUACAGUUGAUGGCGACCGGCAAACGGGUGCGGAACACGUACACAACCUUCCUUUUAGUGGAGAAUAGCCCAGGGAAACUUGGAUUAAUACUCCGUAACAUAUAAAAGUGGCAUCACUUUUAUAUUAUAGCAGCAAUGCGCUAGAAGAUGGGUGUGCGGCUGAUUAGAUAGUUGGCGGGGUAACGGCCCACCAAGUCGACGAUCAGUAACUGGUGUGAGAGCACGACCAGUCACACGGGCACUGAGACACGGGCCCGACUCCUACGGGAGGCAGCAGUAAGGAAUAUUGGUCAAUGGACGCAAGUCUGAACCAGCCAUGCCGCGUGGAGGAUGAAGGUCCUCUGGAUUGUAAACUUCUUUUGUUUGGGAAGAAACCCAUCUUUUCUAAGAUGGCUGACGGUACCAGAUGAAUAAGCACCGGCUAACUCCGUGCCAGCAGCCGCGGUAAUACGGAGGGUGCAAGCGUUAUCCGGAUUCACUGGGUUUAAAGGGUGCGUAGGUGGGCAAGUAAGUCAGUGGUGAAAUCUCCGGGCUUAACCCGGAAACUGCCAUUGAUACUAUUUGUCUUGAAUACUGUGGAGGUCAGCGGAAUAUGUCAUGUAGCGGUGAAAUGCUUAGAUAUGACAUAGAACACCAAUUGCGAAGGCAGCUGGCUACACAAAUAUUGACACUGAGGCACGAAAGCGUGGGGAUCAAACAGGAUUAGAUACCCUGGUAGUCCACGCCCUAAACUAUGGAUACUCGACAUUUGCGAUAAACUGCAAGUGUCUGAGCGAAAGCAUUAAGUAUCCCACCUGGGAAGUACGAUCGCAAGAUUGAAACUCAAAGGAAUUGGCGGGGGUCCGCACAAGCGGUGGAGCAUGUGGUUUAAU
rnacentral:rRNA from 1 species